UGCCUAUAAAGCUGUAACAGUGUGGCCUGUGGUCACUGAGAGAAGAAUAUAAGUUGGCCUUUGUAGUGACCAUGUGGAAGUACCAUCCUCGCUUCCAGACUCACCUCUGGAUACUACAAGGUAGCCUUACUACAGAUCUACCAUUUACUCCUGGAAACUCAAAACCAAAAAUCUUAAAGCAAGAAAGAUGCAGAGUAUUUCCUGAGGAGUCAGAAGAACUCAAUAUAUUCUGGUGGGCAAAGGAAAACAGGGUGAAUGUGUAGGCCCUUCCUUACCGCACUCGGCUCAUAAAAGAAGUGCUGAAUCAGCGAGGAGCGUGAGCGCAGGGCUGAGAGGAGAUGGCUGCUGCGUGCGACUCUCCAGGUCACUGCCUCUGUCCUACUGCUGGUGCUGUGCAACACCAGGCUGACAGGAUCUAGUGACAAUAAAAGAAAAGAAGCUUCUCUCUCUCUGAAGACUGACUUGGCUGCUGUUAGCAACUUCUUGAAACACACUGUAAGCUCCACUGAUUCUAGGAGACUCCUACAAAAAAGAACCGAACUCGGACAAAGCGCAACAAAAAACCAGGCAAAUGUUUACAAAUGUUCACAUCUGUGGAGAGCAAGGAACCCUAAGUGGUCUUACAGCCUGAUCAGGGAUAACAGAUGCUGACAUUAUCAAAUGCUGUACUAUUUUUUCCCAUGGCCUCUCCUUGCCCCGAUAUGGCCAGUAUACGAAUCUGAACUGCCGUCCAAAAGCACACUUGAGCAACUGGAUCUGCUAAAUGGCUUCCAUAUAACCAGUAAAAAUAGAAACCGGUGUUAUUGCUAUCUUCAGCACUUAAGUUCAUGCAAUGUAACACCUGUUUCACUUCUACUAGAAUAAAUGAUGGAAAGAGGUAUUGAUACAUUAAUUUUACCAGCAGCCAGACACUUAACAAGCAACAGACACAGAAAUACACAAUGCAAGUACUGUCUGCACACGGCUCAAAUUAUUGUUGACCCUCUCUCAGUUCAGAACAAUUCACUGUAUAUUUCACUUCAUCUUUAUAGACAAACUGUAAUUUACCCGACUUGCAUUUUCUCAGAAAACACUCCUUUCUUGAUACUGAAAACAGCAAAAUCACACUAAUUACAAAAACUUACACUAAUAUUUUAAAUAUUAUGUAGUAAAUUUUAAUGCUAAAAAUUCAUGCAUUAUAGUGAACCACAAGUCUAUGCACAAUUAAGCUAAUAAGAAGUAACCAGACAAUCUGUACCAAAAUGACAGAGAAUUUAGUCAAGGAAAAAGACCUAUAAAGCAGUUAAGUUACUGACUCAUUGUUAAUGACUCCACAUGAGCAACAACAAAAAAAAUAAGCUGGCAUUCAUAGUAGCUCCUCCCCACAGAAGCCCAAGCAGUAUACUGAAUACACGGGUGAUCUAUUUAUAACCUAAAGGGCAGAGGUAUUAAGGCCAUUCAUAUUCCUCUACCCACUGUCAGCCACUUGCUAUGAGCCCUCAACUGAAAUACUAAAAAAAAAAAAAAAAAGAAAGUGACAGUAGAAAUGUCUAAUAUCACUUUUCUCAACUAUUAGCUGAACAGUUUACUACCUAAAACUAAACAGAAUGUUUACUACCAAGAAGUAACAUUACUCUGAAAUGUAUUAAGGUCUACUUCUUAUAAAUGCAAGUUAUUGUUUACAUUUAAAAAUAAAAAAUGUUGAAAACAAACACAUGUACUGACAACGUGUUAAAAAGAAAAAGGCUUCUCAGUUGUUAAAGGUAGGAUAAGUGUCAUCAAGACAAAUCUUAUAUUCAGUAACUGAAGUAAUAAUAAUGAGAAUUUCUAACACUUGUAAAUGCUCUAUAAUUGUAUUUUUAUGCAUAAAAAGCACUUACUUAACUGUUCUGGAUCCAUAACCAGCAACACUACAAUGCUUUGCUAAAGCUGGUAAAAUGGAACCAAAUCGCCUCUUCAAUGGAUUUGGUCCCCUUCAACCAGCUGUAGCUAUGCAUUGAUUACUACAGGAGAGCCAGCACUUUCAUUUAUGAAUAUCAAUUACAUGUCAACUAAUUUCAACCUAUGUAAGUUAUUUAGACUGUGGCUAAAACCAAGUAACUUGUUACUGUUCUACUUGAAGAGCUAUAGUGGUUAAAAAAAUUAUAAAAAGCUUUAUGAAAAAAUGUAUGAAUGACUUCCAAAUUUCAAA